rnacentral:tRNA from 2 species
GUGCUCGUAGCUCAGUUGGUCUAGAGCAACGGAUUUUUAAUCCGUGGGUCCUGGGUUCAAAUCCCAGCGGGCACA